AGAGUUUGAUCCUGGCUCAGGAUGAACGCUAGCUACAGGCUUAACACAUGCAAGUCGAGGGGCAUCAGGAAGAAAGCUUGCUUUCUUUGCUGGCGACCGGCGCACGGGUGAGUAACACGUAUCCAACCUGCCCUUUACUCGGGGAUAGCCCUUCGAAAGAAAGAUUAAUACCCGAUGGCAUAAUGAUUCCGCAUGGUUUCAUUAUUAAAGGAUUCCGGUAAAGGAUGGGGAUGCGUUCCAUUAGGUUGUUGGUGAGGUAACGGCUCACCAAGCCUUCGAUGGAUAGGGGUUCUGAGAGGAAGGUCCCCCACAUUGGAACUGAGACACGGUCCAAACUCCUACGGGAGGCAGCAGUGAGGAAUAUUGGUCAAUGGGCGCUAGCCUGAACCAGCCAAGUAGCGUGAAGGAUGAAGGCUCUAUGGGUCGUAAACUUCUUUUAUAUAAGAAUAAAGUGCAGUAUGUAUACUGUUUUGUAUGUAUUAUAUGAAUAAGGAUCGGCUAACUCCGUGCCAGCAGCCGCGGUAAUACGGAGGAUCCGAGCGUUAUCCGGAUUUAUUGGGUUUAAAGGGAGCGUAGGUGGACUGGUAAGUCAGUUGUGAAGGUUUGCGGCUCAACCGUAAAAUUGCAGUUGAUACUGUCAGUCUUGAGUACAGUAGAGGUGGGCGGAAUUCGUGGUGUAGCGGUGAAAUGCUUAGAUAUCACGAAGAACUCCGAUUGCGAAGGCAGCUCACUGGACUGCAACUGACACUGAUGCUCGAAAGUGUGGGUAUCAAACAGGAUUAGAUACCCUGGUAGUCCACACAGUAAACGAUGAAUACUCGCUGUUUGCGAUAUACAGUAAGCGGCCAAGCGAAAGCAUUAAGUAUUCCACCUGGGGAGUACGCCGGCAACGGUGAAACUCAAAGGAAUUGACGGGGGCCCGCACAAGCGGAGGAACAUGUGGUUUAAUUCGAUGAUACGCGAGGAACCUUACCCGGGCUUAAAUUGCAGUGGAAUGAUGUGGAAACAUGUCAGUGAGCAAUCACCGCUGUGAAGGUGCUGCAUGGUUGUCGUCAGCUCGUGCCGUGAGGUGUCGGCUUAAGUGCCAUAACGAGCGCAACCCUUAUCUUUAGUUACUAACAGGUCAUGCUGAGGACUCUGGAGAGACUGCCGUCGUAAGAUGUGAGGAAGGUGGGGAUGACGUCAAAUCAGCACGGCCCUUACGUCCGGGGCUACACACGUGUUACAAUGGGGGGUACAGAAGGCAGCUAGCGGGUGACCGUAUGCUAAUCCCAAAAGCCUCUCUCAGUUCGGAUCGAAGUCUGCAACCCGACUUCGUGAAGCUGGAUUCGCUAGUAAUCGCGCAUCAGCCACGGCGCGGUGAAUACGUUCCCGGGCCUUGUACACACCGCCCGUCAAGCCAUGGGAGCCGGGGGUACCUGAAGUACGUAACCGCAAGGAUCGUCCUAGGGUAAAACUGGUGACUGGGGCUAAGUCGUAACAAGGUAGCC
rnacentral:rRNA from 1 species